AGAGUUUGAUCCUGGCUCAGGAUGAACGCUGGCGGCGUGCUUAACACAUGCAAGUCGAACGAAGCACUUUACCUGAUCCCUUCGGGGUGAUCGAAUUGUGACUGAGUGGCGGACGGGUGAGUAACGCGUGGGUAACCUGCCUCAUACAGGGGGAUAACAGCUGGAAACGGCUGCUAAUACCGCAUAAGCGCACAGUACCGCAUGGUACGGUGUGAAAAACUCCGGUGGUAUGGGAUGGACCCGCGUCUGAUUAGCCAGUUGGCGGGGUAACGGCCCACCAAAGCGACGAUCAGUAGCCGACCUGAGAGGGUGACCGGCCACAUUGGGACUGAGACACGGCCCAAACUCCUACGGGAGGCAGCAGUGGGGAAUAUUGCACAAUGGGGGAAACCCUGAUGCAGCGACGCCGCGUGAGCGAAGAAGUAUUUCGGUAUGUAAAGCUCUAUCAGCAGGGAAGAAGAAAUGACGGUACCUGACUAAGAAGCCCCGGCUAACUACGUGCCAGCAGCCGCGGUAAUACGUAGGGGGCAAGCGUUAUCCGGAUNUACUGGGUGUAAAGGGAGCGCAGGCGGAUGGCUAAGUCUGAUGUGAAAGCCCGGGGCUCAACCCCGGGACUGCAUUGGAAACUGGUCAUCUGGAGUGUCGGAGAGGUAAGUGGAAUUCCUAGUGUAGCGGUGACAUGCGUAGAUAUUAGGAGGAACACCCGUGCGGAGGUCGGCUAUGUGUACGACAACUGACGGUGAGGUCGGAAAGGCUGGGGACCAACAGGAUUAGAUACACUGGUAGUCCACGCCGUAAACGAUGGAUACUAGUGCUCGGGGGACAUAGUCUUCGGUGCCGCACCAACGCAGUAAGUAUUCCACCUGGGGAGUACGUUCGCAAGAAUGAUACUCAAAGGAAUCGACGGGGACCCGCACAAGCGGUGGAGCAUGUGGUUUAAUUGGAAGCGACGCGAAGAACCUUACCAAGUCUUGACAUCCCGGUGACCAAGUAUGUAAUGUACUCUCUCUUCGGAGCGCCGGUGACAGGUGGUGCAUGGUUGUCGUCAGCUCGUGUCGUGAGAUGUUGGGUUAAGUCCCGCAACGAGCGCAACCCUUAUCCUUAGUAGCCAGCGGCAAGGCCGGGCACUCUAGGGAGACUGACCAGGGAUAACCUGGAGGAAGGCGGGGAUGACGUCAAAUCGUCAUGCCCCUUAUGACUUGGGCUACACACGUGCUACAAUGGCGUAAACAAAGGGAAGCGAGCCUGUGAAGGGGAGCGAAUCCCAACAAUAACGUCCCAGUUCGGACUGUAGUGGUGCAACCCGGACUACGACGAAGCGGGAAUCGCUGAGUAAUCGCGAACCAGCAUAUCCCGCUGAAUACGUUACCGGG
rnacentral:rRNA from 1 species